CACUCAUUCACCUGCUCCACCCUGCAGGCUUGGUGCGCGGGACAUUGGCGGAAGGCACGGAUCUGGUCGAACAAAGAACUGGCUUUUUAAUCAUGCAGUCCAGACAAGUCCCCUCCCGCAGGCCAGUGGAGAGGGGAGCCUCCUGGGGCUGCCUGGCAGACGCCCUGAUUUCCGCUCCUUCAAGUGGCCACUUGGAAAAGAAAGGAACAAGCAAGUAAUCAGGCGUGAAGGACAGAAACACUCCAGGAAAUCGCGUUCCCCAGCCUAGCUCCAUGGACGGCGUGGGUGGGAGGGGGUUCAGAUGCAGGGAAAGUUCUGGUCACACGGCAUGAGGGAAUGGAGAGCCCACCUCUUCUGGACCCUAGUGGGCUGUUGGCCAAAGAAAAAGGGAGACAGAUGUAGGGCAAGGCAGAGAGGCCAGGCGGGCAUGUCGGCAGCUUCUCUGCUGGGGGUGAGAACAUUGUAGAAAUGCCCUGAUGGGACUGUCCCAGGGAGCGCCACCACCUGGCGGUGCACAAGCCUCCAGGAGAAGAGCUGGCAGCCCUGGGCAGCCUCGGGGCUGCAAAGAGAAUCCUGCCCCCCCACCCCCAGCUCUGGCAGCUCUCUCCCGGCUUGCGGGAGUGUGCAGGUUCCAGAGUCCCCGUGGCUGGAGCUGAGAGAGCAGGAAGAUGGGCAGCGCCUGUGGUCAGGAGAAAGAGCCUGCCACAGUGUGGACGUUUGCAGCUGGAGGCGCCGUCACCCUCGGAGGCCGGAAGGGCCCAGGCGCAGUUCUGCAGUCACCUGUCCCGGAAGCAGCCCAGGCCGGCCGCGCGACCUGCCGGGACCCGAAGGUGCCACGUGGUCUGCACCCGCCUCUGCCUGAGACCACGGACACCCCCUCAGGGGCGCAGCCGGGAGCCUCCUGGAGGGGAGCCGGACCGAGGAGGUGGCUCACAGUUUGAGCAUCUGGCCCAAAGAGACAGAGUCAUGCAAAAGAAACUAGUCAAACCAGAAGAGGCCCAAACACCAUCAAUUUGCAAAUUCAGGUUUUUCUACCGCCUCAA